rnacentral:tRNA from 2 species
GCAGUUGUGGCCGCGUGGUUAAGGUGACGGACUAGAAAUCCAUUGGGGUCUCCCCGCACAGGUUCGAAUCCUGUCGACUGCG